rnacentral:rRNA from 1 species
GACGAACGCUGGCGGCGUGCUUAACACAUGCAAGUCGAGCGGAAAGGCCCUUUCGGGGGUACUCGAGCGGCGAACGGGUGAGUAACACGUGAGUAAUCUGCCCUUGGCUUCGGGAUAGCCACCGGAAACGGUGAUUAAUACCGGAUACGACACAUCACUGCAUGGUGCGUGUGUGGAAAGUUUUUUCGGCCAGGGAUGUGCUCGCGGCCUAUCAGCUUGUUGGUGGGGUAAUGGCCUACCAAGGCUUCGACGGGUAGCCGGCCUGAGAGGGUGACCGGCCACACUGGGACUGAGACACGGCCCAGACUCCUACGGGAGGCAGCAGUGGGGAAUAUUGGACAAUGGGCGGAAGCCUGAUCCAGCAACGCCGCGUGAGGGAUGACGGCCUUCGGGUUGUAAACCUCUUUCAGCACAGACGAAGCGCAAGUGACGGUAUGUGCAGAAGAAGGACCAGCCAACUACGUGCCAGCAGCCGCGGUAAUAC